UAAGUAUAAAUGCGGCAUAAUAGUGACAACAUUUAACGUUUUUAAAGCGUGCAGCUUGUGUGCUAAACAAAUAAAAAAAAAACGAAAAAACUAAAGUUGACAAUUUAAUGUAGAAGGUGUUAAAUUAACUAUUAAAAUUCAAUUGUGUUUUAUUAAAAAUUUAACUGAAUUUCGCUGUGCAGCACUUCUAAAACAAACGUGACCGAAUGGUCCGACCAAUGGGCGCUAUUCAAAGCUGAUUGAUAAUGCUCAGCACACAAGAGGAAACGGAAGUGUAAACGUGCAGCGGAAGCAAAAAGUUUUCAACAGGAAUUGAAAAAAAAAA